rnacentral:rRNA from 1 species
GUGGGGAAUCUUCCGCAAUGGACGAAAGUCUGACGGAGCGACGCCGCGUGAGUGAAGAAGGCCUUCGGGCCGUAAAGCUCUGUCAUCAGGGACGAACGGCCGGUGGAGUGGAAAGCCACCGGAUUGACGGUACCUGAGAAGGAAGUCACGGCUAACUACGUGCCAGCAGCCGCGGUAAUACGUAGGUGGCAAGCGUUGUCCGGAAUUAUUGGGCGUAAAGCGCGCGCAGGUGGGAUCUUAAGUCCAUUUUUAAAGUUCGGAGCUCAACUCCGUGAUGGGAUGGAAACUGGGAUUCUUGAGUACCGGAGAGGAAAGCGGAAUUCCCCGUGUAGCGGUGAAAUGCGUAGAUAUGGGGAGGAACACCAGUGGCGAAGGCGGCUCACUGGCUCGAUACUGACGCUGAGGUGCGAAAGCGUGGGGAGCAAACAGGAUUAGAAACCCUAGUAGUCC